GACUAAUAACAGCUCUAAUAUCUUGAAAAAAAAAUUUGGCUGGUAAUUUUUUUUUCUCUUGUUUCCCCCAACUUCUGUACUGUCGUGUGCUAGCAAUGUGACCAGCUACAAAUUCAGUACUGCUGCGUCCAAUGGUCUGUCUUCAGGAGUGAGUAGCGGAGGCGGCAAAAUGAGAAGGGAAAGAGGAAUACACUAUUUAUCAAGAGCUGUACAAGAACAGGAAAAAUCUAUUCCAUAAAACUAUGACCAUGAAUAUUCAGAUUAUUUUUUCUUUUAUUGGAUGUUAUAUAAGCUGCCUGUAAGUUAAUUUAAGUAUUUACGUUAACAUUAAGUAUUUAAUUAAUAUUAAGUUAAUAUUAAGUAUUUAAGUUAAUUUAAGUUUCAAAUCAUUAAAUGGGACUUCCGGAUGAUGCAAUAUAAAGAAAUCGUAAACACUGUUGUUUAUUCCUGUAACGCAAAUAAAAUAAUGGUCCAAAUAUCA
ensembl:lncRNA